rnacentral:rRNA from 1 species
UACGUAGGGGGCAAGCGUUGUCCGGAAUCAUUGGGCGUAAAGCGCGCGUAGGCGGCUUUGUAAGUUAGAGGUGAAAGCCCGGGGCUCAACCCCGGAACUGCCUUUAAGACUGCAUCGCUUGAAUCCGGGAGAGGUGAGUGGAAUUCCGAGUGUAGAGGUGAAAUUCGUAGAGAUGUGGAGGAACACCAGUGGCGAAGGCGACUCUCUGGUCUGUAACUGACGCUGAGGCGCGAAAGCGUGGGGAGCAAACGGG